UACGUAGGGGGCAAGCGUUGUCCGGAUUUAUUGGGCGUAAAGAGCGUGUAGGCGGCCAGGUAGGUCCGUUGUGAAAACUCGAGGCUCAACCUCGAGACGUCGGCGGAAACCCUCUGGCUAGAGUCCGGAAGAGGAGAGUGGAAUUCCUGGUGUAGCGGUGAAAUGCGCAGAUAUCAGGAGGAACACCGGUGGCGAAGGCGGGUCUCUGGGCCGAUGACUGACGCUGAGGAGCGAAAGCGUGGGGAGCGAACAGGA
rnacentral:rRNA from 1 species